ACACGACUUGGCUCUCAUUGUUGAGACCUGAUGGUCAUCUUGGACCGUAUCGCCAGUUUCAUCCAUUGGAAAAUGGUAAAGUACAAAAUGAUUGUUUACAUUGGUAUUUGCCAGGACCAAUCGAUUCUUGGAAUGAUGUAUUAAUGCAAAUGCAGUAAUUAUUUAUGCAAAUAUAGCACCAUCGAGUCUUCUUGCUACUUGAAUCGGAUUGAACAUCUAAUUACCACAUGAAAACAAGAUUAAACUUGGUGCGUAUUUUAUAUUACACUGAUUUGUCGAUAUCUCAAUAGUCACCUUGAUUUUGUAAAAGCUAUAAAGUGUAGCGCUUGCAAAAUCACUAUGACUUGUUAUGAUUCUGACAAACUCACCGCAAAUCUCAACAUAUACCGAAUUGAAAAGAAUCAUAUAAUCUUUGCAAUUGUGUGUGCAAUUUGAGUACAUUGGCAUAGGAAAACAAUGAAAUUAGGAGUGGAAUAACGCGUUUGGUAAACUAGGUAAAGGUAAUAUGUGUAGUGUGAAAUUAUGACAGAUAAUGAAAAAUGUAGGCAGCAUACAGCUUUUUUUAAUGAUUGAGAGGGAGGGGUAACAAACUACCUGACUUGGAUACAAACUACUUUUUUUUUUUUUUCUUUCUUUCAGUUAAGUAAUAUAUAACUAUAUAAACUGUUAGACGUGAUCUUCAUACAUUUUAAACUCUUGAUCCUUUGUCCCAAAAAAUUGUGAAAAAAUAUAAGUUAGAUACAUAUUAAUGGUCACUGCAUGCAAUAUGAAUAUGGUAAGCAACCCUUUAAAAGAGGGCAAUUACAUUUUUCAUUCUAUGAGUUUCUCGUGUGUCAUAUUUGGAUUUUAAAAUCCGAAAUCUUUUAAGGUGUUUUGAAGACUUUUAUAGAGUGUUUAUGUCAUUCGAAUUAUAUAAUCUGAAUUGUAUAGAGAACAAGAAAUCAAUCGAGUGGAAAAAGAAGGAGUCUAAAAGGAGAAAGUAGAACUGUCCCAAGGCCAAGUCUUUAAGCCUCAUUAUUUUGAACUUUGAAUCAAUUGUCAUGGACCGAUUGUUCAAAAAAUUGUCAUGGACCGAUGGUGUACAACUUGUUUAUACGUGUAUCCAAUUAAAUUGCACCAUAUAGACACGUUUAAAGUUAUUUUAAGAACUAACCUUAAAAGGUGACAUUAUGGUAUGAUUUAAUUGAAUGCGUGUAUAAUUUUUUUUUCACUAUAUCAAUAUAUACAAUUUAAAUUCUUAAACUUUAUACUCCUAUAUCUUUUUUAUUUGACAAAAAAAUAGUACUCCGUUUUUAAUUAUAAGCAAAUUUUACUUUUUAGAUUCAUUUAAUUAGUGAUGUAUGUGAUUCAUAAUAUAUACCACAUACAUCAUUAAUUGAAUGAACUUAAAAAGUAAAAUUUGCUUAUAAUUAAUAAUGGAGGGAGUAGUAUGUUUUCAAGUUUUCAAGCGUGGGUCUCUUUUAUAUUAAUAAAAAAAUAUGGGUUUAAUUUUUUCCUUUUGAAGAGUUUGGCGAAGAAACUAACACACAUUUAGUGCAAAAAAGUAGAGAUGUGUGAGUUCAACCAGGGUUCUAACAUAUCAAAUGCUUAUGCAAUCUUUUGUAUUUGAAAUCAGGGUUGGUCUUAAUAUUUUUUGUGUCCUAAGAGAAUUAAUAAAGUUGUGUCUUUUAAUUAUUUAAAUGUCUUUCUUCUUAUAUUUUUUGUUGUGAAAGAUUUAUUUAUAAUCAAAAUUAUCUAAAAAUAUAUAUUUUUAACAGAACUAAUCUAAACAAGUUAAAAAGAAAAAUAUGUAGUAUGUAACAUCAACUACAAAAUAAAAAUAAUAAUUUGAAUGUCAUGUAAAAAUUGUGUCCUAAACCGCUACCUCUCCCGCCCAUGCUCAUGUCACCCAUGUAUGAAACUAGAGGAUAUACUCAACAUAAUAUUAUGGAAUUAUAUGAAUUUUUGAAUUUUAUCUCUUUAUUUUUUCUUUCAAACUUUUAGUUCAUCGGUUAAGCUGACGUAGACUACUAGAUACAAGGUCAUUUAAAAAAGAAAGAUAUAUAUUCUUCUAUUUUCUCCCUACAUGCCCUAACAUAACAGUCAAAGAUAUUUUUCCUGUUUACUUCUUCUCUUUUAUUUUAUUUUCUUUUAAGUUCCAGUGUGAUUCCUCAAUCUUUAAUUUUAACUCAAUAAAUUCCUUAAAAAAACUCAAUAAAUAAAAGUAUUCCUAACUUUUUUAUGGGAAAAGUACUUCUGUCUUCUUUCAUUUUUCAAAUUUAGUUUUUAUGUGAAGAGAGCAAAGUUAAUGAUUCAUAUGUUGCAUCAUCAAUACAUAUAAGGUACCGGCUCUACGAGAUAAAUGAUUUUUAGAAAAAUUAAGGUAUGCGUACGUUAAAAAAUACAAUGAAAUGUCUUUCAAAAUUAUAACAUUUAACAUCAAAAUGUACAGGUAUCGUCUUUCGUAAUUUAUUACAUUACAAAUUAAAACAUACUCCCUCCGAUCCUUUAUACAAGAAACAAAAGCCAUAAAACAUCAGGACCAAGGAAAUACAUUGAAAAUAUUUAUCUUCAUUUAAUACACCUCUACUUUUUUCUUCUUCUUCAAGAAUACCCCUAAAUUAAUUACUCUUUAUUCCACCAACUUACUUACUUUUAAUAUUCUUUCAUAAUAAAUAAGGGCACAAAUGAAAUUUAGUUUCAAACAUACUUAAAACUUGGUCAAUAUUUCUUAUAAAAAGGACAAAAAAAAAAUUCACUUUUGUUUCUAAUAAAAAGGACCGGAGGGAGUACUUAGUAAAUAAAUAUAAAAAAUAGGAUAAAAAAUGAUAUUUAAAUAAUAGAAGACUAAGACUUGUUAUUUAUAAUUUUUUUUUUAACAAGCAAAAAUGAAAGAACACAUUCUAGUCAAAAUUACAAAACAAUUAGUGGAUACCCAUACAUAAUAGCGGGUUCGACCACCAAUUAUGAGUACCGAAAUUAAAGACAACAUUACUAGCUUUCAACCACCACAAGGAAUAUGAUUUUAUUUUAUCUAACAUAUGCGGUAGAGAGCAUUGAUUAUUUUUAUAAUUAAAAAUUGAGAAAGGAUAUACAAUAUAAUAGAAAAAGUAUUAACAUAAUAAAAAAAAGUUACCCUUCAAAAAUCAUAUUUAAAAACCUAAUUUUUUUUGGACAGAACCUAAUUAUAAUAUUUAUGUUUUAAGAGACAAAUAUAUCUGUGUAUUAGACCGCAAACACUUUAGUAAAAAAAAAAACCCUUUUUAAAUUUAUUGAAUAAAUAAUAUAUCUGAUUUACAUUAUCGAUAAAAUACAUCAGUUAUUCGUCAAAUUUAAAAAGUGUUUUUUUUUUUUUUUUUAUAAUAGUGGUCGGAGGGAAUAUUUUACAAAGAAAAAUGAUAUUUAAAAAUGUAUUUUGCAACCCUGUGCACAUAACAUAAGGGUAUUUUAAUUUUAUAGAAAUAAAAGAAAAAGAAAAAGAAUAUUUGUGUAAUAAAUUUGUGAUUUUUUUUUCAUACUCAUAUUAUAUUAAUAUCUAUUUUUUUUUUGUAAAUCUAUUGUUGUUCCGUAAAUUAUCAUAUAAAUAAUUGUCUAAAAUAACUCAAGAGUUUUUUGAGAACUAAUAUUUUUAGGUUGUUGUUACAAAAAAAAUUGUCAAUAUACAUAUCAGGAUUCUUUUUACAAAGAGAAAUGAUAUUUGUACAACCACUUUUUGACAACUUUUGAAACAACUCUCUCUCUUAUACUCACAUAUGUUUUUAUUCUCUCUCUUCUUCUCUCCAUUGUUUUUGUCCAAUCUCAAAAGAAGAAAAGUGGUUGUCACCAAGAUUGUCUAAUAUUAGUUGUACAAAUAUCAAUCCUCUUUUACAAAUUAAUUUUGGUGGGCAUAUAUCUAGCGUGGUGACGUCUCAUGAUGUACACGUGGGGUGGGAAUGUAUUAUCUUUAGUCCGUACUCCGUUGCAUCAUUCUUUCAUCAUCAUAACGUUUGUACGUUACUUCGUUUGUUCUCUCUCUUUUUUUACAACAACAAUACAAAUGCACUUCAAAGUUAGUUAUACAUAAUUAAAACGGGAGGGAAACAAUCCGACAUCAUACUGCGAGAGUUCUUAACAGUUAACAUGAUUAUUUACUAUUCACGUUGCGAAUUUGAGAGGCAGCUCAAAUCUAUAUAAAAAAUUUGAUUUUAAAAUAGAAAACAAGUAAAUUUGUUAAUACAAUCACUAAUUUUAUGUUUGAGACUCCUUUUAAAGAAUUGUAGGUAUUUAUCUAUCAACUAGUUAAAAUUAGUUACGUCGUCUAUGAAUGUAUAAGUGGUAUCCACAUACCAACUAUUACUUCAUUUGUAAAUUUACCUAUACGGCGGGUUAAAUUUGAUGGACAACUUCAUACAGUUCUCGAUAGUAUGUUGAAUUAUUCUUUUUUUUUAAAAAAAAAUAAUAAUAAGAAUUGAACUUCUUUUUCAAUAUUUAAAACAAACACACAAGUGGCAUGUCAACCAAUUGUGUUGGAAUUAAUUCAAUUAAAAAAAUGUUUUGAACCAAUAUCAAGACAACUUUUCUAGUGUUUCAAUCCAACCAUUAACACCUAACUCCUUAGGGGAUCCUCUACCUCACUAAAAGUAGCCCUUGAAACAGAUCGCAAAGUACACAAUUUUAACCCCACAUACCUUAUACCUCAGCUUUGCUUACUUACUUGAGUGUCAAAAUAUUUGCAAAUACCACCACCAUAAACUUUUCAAAGCAUUGCUCAACUAUCUUUCAUGGAGCCAACUUCUCAAUCAAGUUCGGAUCACAUACAUACAUUAAACUAUAAAUCAAUAUAAAAUUAUUGGAUUCAAAUAGUUAAUUAGUUUUAAUUAAGAACAACUCAUUAGCAAGAAUUUCAAUUUAAAAUCUUGAUUGAAAACCCAAAAUACUAACCCAUUCUCAUGAUCAUUUGUAGUAAAAAAAAAAAAAAAAAAGUAAAUGUAGAAGCUUCCAAGUAAUUGGAAUACUCUUUGAUUGAUACCAACCAAGUACCAACUCACCAAAUAUUGAAUUUGCAUCCUUAAUAGCUUUGGUACCGCCAAGGUAAGCCGUUAAUGUUUUGAUUUUAUUCCAAAUUCAGCGGCCCUUGAUGCCGUCCAGGUUCAAUAUUAUGCAUUCAGAAAGUUCCUUGAACUAACAUGAUACUCCUUCCAUUGCAGUCUUAUUUGAAAUUGAAAGGAAAGGGAAAAAACGUGUGGGAUAUGUAAUACCAUUAUAGCAUUGCACACGUCCAAUAGAUAAAAAAAGAAAAUCAUGUUUGUUUAUCACAUAAGCCUUACGUAUGAAUUGACAUCAUCUCUUUCUUUAUAUCAAAUAUUGCAUGAUCCUUCCCGUCCCCACUCAUAUCAUAUCGCUUUCCUUCUAGAUAACAUUAUGGAUGCCUUUCCCUUCCAUCAUAAUACCAAUAAUAAUUUACCUAUGUUACUAUAUAUGUAUCAAUUUUUUAUUUAUUUUCGAUUUAUUUCUACUUACUCCCAACAUUUUUUCUCACCCAAUCAUCAUCCAAAACCCAUAAUGCCCUCCUUUACACAACACCAAAACAAAUUACGUAUUCUAUUUAAUUUAAAGUAGUAAUGCAUUAUUAAAAGCAUUCCCACACAAUAACAAUUAUAGAAAACUAAAAUAAGUAAAACGUCCUUCACUGAAAUUCAAGCGCUAUAAUAUAUAUAUAUAUCUGCCACUAAAGCACCAACCAAUCAUUUAAUAAACAAACUCUGCCUCCUUUACAGACAGACCAUAAUAAAAACUCUUUUCUUUGUUCUAUAUAUAAUUAUUCCAUUCCUCUUCAUACAUACUCUCAACAUUACAACAACAAUUCUCAAUUCUCACCCACCCAAAAUACUAAACGCAUCAUUUUCAUUUCCAUGGAACUCUCAAAACAAGAACCAUUAUCUAAACCACCACCUAUGGUGGUUAUGCUACCAUCACCAGGCAUGGGACAUCUUAUACCAAUGAUUGAAUUUGCCAAAAGAAUUAUUAUUCUUAAUCAAAAUCUUCAAAUCACCUUCUUCAUUCCCACCGAAGGUCCACCUUCAAAAGCUCAAAAAACAGUUCUUCAAUCUCUACCAAAGUUCAUUUCACAUACUUUCCUUCCACCAGUUUCCUUCUCAGACCUUCCACCAAACUCCGGGAUAGAGACAAUCAUCUCCCUCACUGUCCUCCGUUCUCUCCCUUCUCUCCGUCAAAACUUCAACACUCUCUCUGAAACUCAUACUAUCACUGCUGUUGUCGUCGACCUCUUUGGGACAGACGCUUUUGACGUCGCUAGAGAAUUCAACGUCCCUAAAUAUGUCUUCUACCCUUCAACUGCCAUGGCUCUUUCUCUUUUCCUUUACCUUCCUCGUCUUGACGAGGAAGUUCACUGCGAGUUUAGAGAAUUGACUGAACCUGUGAAAAUUCCCGGUUGUAUUCCUAUUCACGGUAAAUAUUUACUAGACCCUCUUCAAGACAGGAAGAACGAUGCUUACCAAAGUGUCUUUCGCAACGCGAAGAGAUACAGAGAAGCAGAUGGACUUAUAGAGAAUAGUUUUCUUGAACUUGAACCGGGUCCAAUCAAGGAGUUACUAAAGGAAGAACCAGGAAAACCUAAGUUUUACCCGGUUGGACCAUUAGUAAAGAGAGAAGUAGAAGUAGGUCAAAUUGGACCGAACUCAGAGAGUUUGAAAUGGUUAGAUAAUCAACCACAUGGGAGUGUUCUGUUUGUUUCUUUUGGAAGUGGUGGGACCCUCUCUAGUAAACAGAUAGUUGAAUUGGCACUUGGCUUGGAAAUGAGUGAGCAACGGUUUUUAUGGGUUGUUAGAAGUCCAAAUGAUAAAGUUGCUAAUGCUUCUUACUUCAGUGCUGAAACAGAUUCUGAUCCAUUUGAUUUUUUACCAAAUGGAUUUUUGGAGAGAACUAAAGGAAGGGGUCUAGUUGUGUCAUCUUGGGCCCCACAACCACAGGUUUUGGCACAUGGGUCAACUGGUGGGUUUUUAACUCAUUGUGGUUGGAAUUCAGUUCUAGAAAGUGUUGUUAAUGGGGUGCCUUUAGUGGUUUGGCCACUUUAUGCAGAGCAAAAGAUGAAUGCUGUUAUGUUAACUGAGGAUGUUAAGGUUGGGUUGAGACCAAAUGUUGGUGAGAAUGGGUUGGUUGAGAGAUUGGAAAUUGCUAGUGUUGUUAAGUGUCUUAUGGAAGGUGAAGAAGGGAAAAAGCUUCGUUAUCAAAUGAAGGAUCUUAAAGAGGCAGCUUCUAAAACUCUUGGUGAGAAUGGAACUUCCACAAACCAUAUCUCCAAUUUAGCUCUCAAGUGGACCAACAAAUCCACUGUAAUAAAUUAAAUUAAAUUAAAAAGUUGUAGUAGCUUAUAUUAGCUACAAUAGCAACAUCUUGUUAUAUAAUUUUCUUAUUAAUUAGUAUGUGUAUUUGAAAUAAUGUAACGCUAACACAUGUCUUUCGACAUAUGUUAUUAAUUUUGAUUUUAGUAUAUUAACAUUUUCCUUUGAAAUAUUUUAAAAACUCUACACUACUCACUCGUACAUACAUGGCAUAGCAUACAUCGAAUGAGAAAGACCGUGGCACUAGCCAAAAAGACGUGGGACCCAAUGACCCAUAAUAUUAAUGGCACCAUAAUGAGGUGUUUGACACUAUAUCAAGUGCUUGGCUUGUUGGUUUGCAAUAAAAAAUAGGUACGAGUUUGGUUUAUCUAUUUCAAUAAAAUUAUCCUAUUAUAUAAACCCAUUUGUUUAAGUUAAAAUGAUUACGAUAAGAACUUAAUAGCUUUAAUACAACAACUUCUUUCAACAGCUUGAAUCCAAAAUGUGAUAGUGCUGUUUGUGUCCAACAGCACCUAACACGUUUGACACGACACCACAAAUGUCCCACUUUGGUUUAAUCACAAGUUUUACAUUUUAGCGCUUGUUUUUGUCCUAUGUAUGUAAAACUUGACGAAGAAUUAUAUGCACAAGAGCAAAUGCAAACGGCUUAUUUUAGAAGCACUUCAGAGUGAAUAAAAAAUUAUCAAUACAAUAUUGAGAGAUUUGACAACAUGAUUUUUCAUUAGAAAAAUAAUCUGGGUUUGAUUCCAAAAGCGGUUCAUUUAAUAGCUUAGCCAUAGUGAAAAAAAAAUCAUAUGUCUUACAACCAAUUCAAUGAUUAUUAGGGGUGUAUUGAAUUGUGAUUUUAUGAGAUUUUAAAAGACUUUUUAAAAAUAAAAAAAUCUUGUGGUAAUCAAUCAAGACAAUCGAGACUUUUUUUUUAUUAAAGGCAAAGAAAUCCGGUGGUAUUCAAUUGUGAUUCCUCUCAACUUAAAAAAUAUCUAUUGGUAAUCAAAAGUAUAGAGAUUUUAAUGGAUUCUUUUCUAGAAUGGAUUUUGUGAGACUUUCUAGUUAAAAUAAAAAUACACAUAAUACACUCCUUCAACAAUCUCACAAAUAUCCUUGAGACUUUUCGAGACUUCCAUAAUUUUGCUCUGUUCCUGUUUCAUACCACACUCAUACCUUUUUGUUGUUAUUAUUAUUCAUAAGCCCUCACUGUUAUUAUUCCGUGCUCACAAUACAUUUGAACCAUUUACCUUGUUGCUUCUCAUUGUCGAAUGUUUUUCUUGUACACAUUACAUACUUUUUAGUUAUACAUUUCACGGUAAAUAUUACAAAAUUUUUUACGUUUUUUUAAAGUAAAUUUUCUUCUUCUAAUUUAUCAUUAUUUCUUGUACACCUUACACUGAUGUGCAACUUUUUUUUUUUUUUUUGACACAAUGUGCAACGUUUUGUUACUAUCUUUAGUAUUAUUAAUAUAUUUUAUUUUUAUUUUGAGUAACUGGUUUUCAUUAUAAUUAUCAUUAGUCAAUUCCAUAGUAUAAUAGUUUUAUAACGGUUCUAGAGGACAUAAACCAUAGAGAUACCUUAGGGCCCAUGAGACCAAUGAUCUUAAAUAGAAUGAAUCAUCAACGAAAAUAAAAGAAUGAACAAGAAUUUUAUUUCAGAUGUGUAAACAAUUAUCUAGUUCACGUUUUUCUUAGGUUAUUUUGAGUGGGAUAAUAACAAUUACCUAGUUCCCUUUUGAGAGUAGUUUAUCUCUUAAAUUUAGUGUGAUGUGUCCCUUUUAAAUCUUCCUCCUUACUUGUUAUGAACACUAUUAUAAGAUUUUUUUUAUAUAUUUUUUUUAGAUUUAUUCAAUAAUCGAUGUAUUCAAUCUAUUAUAAAUUAAUUUUAUCCGUUAUUAAAUAAAUUUAAAAAUAUUUUUUUUGCUUAUAAUAAUAAAGCAGAUGACUACGUCCGUCUUCAAUCAUCCAUCUCCUUGCUCUUUUGGGCGUCCCAUAGUGCUAUAAUAUGUUACUAAGACUAUAAUAUUUCUAUAUCAUUCCCUAAUAAUUAGCUAGCAUACCCUAUAAUAAUAUUUUUUUUUUAAAUUAGCAUACCCAUAUACGAAAAUACGUACUUCUGUAGUACACACCAUAAUUUUGUUUUGUAAAAAAAAAAAUAGAAUUAAUUUUCUAGAAUUCAUGAAAAAUAUUCAUAAAUAAUAACAAUGUUAAGCUUACAAAGGUUAUGGUAAGGAUUUCCAUAAUUAGUAAUAUUUUUAUUAAAAAAAAGUAAUUUAAAAGUUUUGAAAAAUAAAUUGAUAUAAUUUCAAAUACAAGAUUUAUAUCUUUAAAAUACUCAAACAUAAAAUGACAUAUCUUAGCAUUUUCCUACUUAUAAUAAUGAUCCAUGUUUUUUUUUGGUAGAUAGAAGAAAUGACAAAGUCAUUGUAAAUUCACACACACAAAUAAAGGUACCGGAAUACGAACCCCGAUCAUAGCAUCCGACCUAACAAUUUCAACAUUUUACUAAUUGAAUUAGGACUUCCGAAUAUAAUGAUCCAUGUUUGACGUUUGAGACCUCUUUCUUACUUGUUAUGAUAACAGCCAUAAGGUAAUGAUCCUCAUAAUGGUUCCAUGUUGCCGUGUUUUCCUCUCUCAUUUCACCUCUAAGUAUAUUAGUACAAAAUUCCCAUUUAAAACCGUAUACUCCAUUUUCUUUUAUUCUCCGAAAUCACUGCAAUCUAUUUGGCAUAGAUCUGAAAUGAAAACAAUAAGCGAAAAAAGAAAUGAUCUCAAAGUAUCCACGGUACUAAAUUGCCGUUGGGAAAAAAAAUUAAAAAUUUGCAAAAACUUAAAUACUUUACUUUAAUUGUCGUUGGAGCAGCGACACUAACUGCAGCUGAAUUAAUAUUUGAAUUUUGGGGCGGAAAUGAGCUGUUUUGAAAAAUAGAGGAGCAAUUUUUCAACAAAUCACAAUGGGGCUUAUAAAUGUAAUUAAAGAAUUUUCAGUUCCCUUCCACACAUGUCACCACACUUUUGAGUUGAUUAAAAAUAUUAGCGUGUAAUUAAUUUAAACAUGAAACAUUGAACACUAAAAACUUGGUAUGUCCUUUCAAAAAAGAAAAAAAACUUGGUAUGUGACGACCAACUAUACGUUUAUAUUUAAUAUGCGACGACCAUAUCUUAUGUUUUUUGGUAUAAAUUAUAUGAUAUGUUUAAAUUAAUGGUAUUAUUUGCUUCUCAAUCAUAAGUAUUUCCUCAAAAAAAUCAAUCAUAAGUAUUUUUUAUUUUUUUUAAACUCGAUAUCUCCAUCUAAGAACGGACUAAUUUGAGAAGACCAAUCCCAGCAUCAACUUGUGAGGGCCCAUUUAAAGCCAGCAAAGCUCUGUAUGGAUUUAUUCACCGAAAGACAUUAGAGAGAAUCCAACUUGAUACCUUGAUAAAAGCAAACUUGAAGAUCCCAAACCAACCGCUACGCAAAUCCCAAAUGGAUAUCAUUGUUACCGUAUCAAUCAUAAGUAUUAAUUGAUAUAUGAUCAUAUUUAGUGAUAAAAACUAAUUAGAUCGUUAAUUGGAUGACUAAUUGAUUAAUCUAUGAGUUUUACCAUGAGUGCAUAUGUUUGUUUUCUUCUCUAAGGGUGUGUUUGGUUAGGAAGAGAAGUUGUGAAGAGAGAAAUAGGUGAGAGAGAGUGUAGGAAGAGAGAAAAAGGUGAGAAAUAGAGUAGAUUUGAUGUAUUGUUUGGAAGAAGAGAAAGAUUUGAGAAAUAGAAGAGAGAGAAAUGCAUUUAUUUUUAAAAGGACAAAAAUACUCUUUAACUCAAUAAACAAAUACAUAAUUUAAUGUUGUUUGAAACACAUUUUCUAUCAAUAUUAAUUUAAUUAAACAAUCAAUUAUUAAUUAUUAAUUUAUAUUUGGUUAAUUUAUGUUAUUUGUUCUUAUUAAUUUUAAUUAUUUGAACAAAUAGUAAUUUAUAUUUGCUUAAUGUAAUGAUAAGAAUAAGAUUGUACGGUACAAAAAAAACUGAUUGUGUCAAAAAAAAAAAUAGCCCGUUUCAUAAAUUAAAAAAUCUAUUCUGAUUGCUUCAUUUAUUCCCACAACCAUAGGUGCACGGCUAGGCUAUGCACAACAAGUAGACUUCCGUAUAUAUAUAUUUUUUUGUCUUUUAUGAUGCAAUAAAAUGGUAUAAUUGGAAUAUUAUUAAAAAAUGGAACUCUCCCCUAUUUCUUCGCUAUUGAGAGAAGACUAAAAAAGUAGUGGGCCCUACAUGUUUUAUCUCUCUCUCCCUUAUUUCUCACCACAACCAAACUAGAGAAAUGCUCAUUUUCUCUUCUAUCUCUCUCUAUUCAACUUCUCUCUUUCCUUUUUCUCUUCUACCAAACACAGUGUAAAAGAUGAUUAGAAUUAAAAUACUAUAUGUAUAUUGAUAAUUUAUUUAAGAGUAUUGCUGUUCCCACAUAUAGUAUGGCUGUGCCACACCAGUAAAAUACAAAAAUGCCCUUCGGCAGUUAACUGCCGAAGUUUUUAGCAAACCGGCGGCAGCUAACUACCGAGGAUUUCCUCGGCAGUUAGGAAAACUGAACAUAACCAGAACGCAGAAACUCAGUUUUCUUCAUUGUUCAAAAAUCUUUCAAACCAUCUAACUUCUCCAAAAUCGUUUUUUCAGCAAAAUCAAGUUUAUCAUCUCCAUUUAAUCACAAGUAAGUAUCUUGACUCAUUUUUUUUAUCAUAAUGUUAGUUUGGGUAGAUUUUUUUUUUAAAAAAAAUGGUAGUUUUCAUGUGGUUAGGGUUGAUGUAGGAAUUGAAUUUUUUAUGAGUGCAUGUAGUUUAUAAUUGAAUGUAGUUGGUUUAAUUGAUGAUUGAAUGAUGUUAGGGUAUAAUGUGGUUUUGAAUGGUGGCAAAAUAACACAUUUUGAGUAUGUUUGAUACUUUGCACACAAAGUGUUUGAUAAAAUGUGUCAAUGAUAAUUUUAUUGAUUAUUUAGUUAGUUUAGGUAUUGGAUACGAUCUUGAUUGUAAUUCGAAAACGUGUAUGUUGAAUUAAGUUGAAUGCAUAUUGAAAAAGUGUAUAUUGAAUUAGGUUGAAUGUGUAUAUUGAAUUAUGUUUAGUGUAGGUUGAAUGUGUAUGAUAAUGCAUUUGAUUUUUUGCGUUUGAAUGUUAAUGAUAAUGUGUAUGAUAAUGUUUAGGUUCAAUCAAUGUCUUUAUUUUGGUAAAGUGGUUUAAUGUGAAAGCGGUUAUGUUUAGGUUAUGUUUAGGUUGAAUGUGAAAGUGUAGGUUUUGUUUAGGUUUACUGUUUGUUGAUAAAGUGGUUGAAUGAUAUUAAUUUUUAUUUUUUAUUUUUUGUAGAUAUGGCCGAUCAGGACCCCAUUGAUCCAUCGAGGAUGAUUGGUGGUAGGCGUGCCAUGACUCAGAGCCACCGCAGGGAGAGACAGAGUGCCCACAUCCCAAAGAGGGGUAGAGGUCGGAGGGGAGAUGGCUCAGGAAGCUCUCAGGCUACACAGCCUGAGGAGUCACAGGUUGUUGACCCGUCACAGCCUGUUGACCAGACUGGGGUGGAGUACCUGAACUAUCAGGAUCAGGUACAUCAUGAUGUGACGGACGGUGGAUAUGACCAGGAUCAUAUACCACAUGAGCAGGAUGCAGGAGACGAGGAUGACAUUGCAGCAGCUGCUGCACCGGAGGUGUUACCUACGGACCCUCCCUUUCCUGGUGGACCGGCUGACUUGUCCUUGCUCCACUCUUAUGCCGGUCAUGUGGCGUUGCCACUCUGGUAUAAUUCAAAUAAUGUAAGUGUAUUUUUUUUAAUUGUUUUUUCUUUAUGUUAAAAUAUUUUCUUUAAUUUAAAUGUGUGUUUGUUUAAUUAUUAUAUCCACUUUUAUAUGUGUUUUUUUUAAUUGGUUUUUCUUUAUGUUAAAAUAUUUUCUUUAAAUGUGUGUUUGUUUUUAUUAUUAUAUCCACCUCUAUAUGUGUUUUUUUUAAUUCUUUUUCUUUAUGUUUAAUUAUUUUCUUUAAAUGUGUGUUUGUUUUAAUUAUUAUAUACAUUGUUAUAUGUUUUUUUUUUUAAUUCUAUUUUUUAUGUUUAAUUGUUUUGUUUAUAUGUGUUUUUGUUUAAACCAAAUUUAUUUUUCUAUUAUUUCAGGUUCGUAAGACCCGCGUGCUUAAACCGAUUAAUCAUGGGGCGAAGAUUCUCACUCUCGGACGCCCUAACGGGAAUGAGAAUUGGUUUUGGGAUGCGCUUCAGCAGAGCGGGCUACAUGACUUGGUCUACUUGGGGUACUCCACCGUGCCUCAUGCCCUGCUGCUUACUUUAUGCGAGAGGUGGCAUCCGGAGACCAGCACCUUCCACAUGCCGAUGGGGGAGAUGACUGUGACAUUGGAUGAUGUCGCAUGUCUCAUGCAUCUUCCUAUUGAGGGGCGGAUGUUGGCCCAUGGGAAGAAGAUGCCCAAGCAUGAGGGAGCGGCACUGCUGAUGACGUAUCUUGGUGUGGCCCAGCAUGAGGCUGAGAAGAUCUGCAACCAGGAGUACGGUGGGUACAUUAGCUACCCCAGGCUGAGGGACUUCUAUACCUCGUACCUUGGUAGGGCCAACGUAUUGGCGGGUACGGAGGAUCCUGAGGAGGUUGAGGAGCUGGAGAGGGUCAGGACAUACUGCGUCCGGUGUUACCUUCUGUACUUGGUCGGAUGCUUGUUGUUUGGCGAUAGAAGCAACAAGCGCAUCGAGCUGAUAUAUUUGACGACCAUGGCGGACGGCUACGCAGGGAUGCGUAAUUAUUCCUGGGGAGCUAUGACCCUCGCCUACCUAUACGGCGAGUUGGCGGAUGCAUGUAGGCCUGGACACAGAGCGCUUGGGGGGAGCGUGACACUGCUCACUGUAAGAAAACUGAAAUUUUAUAUUUAUGUUAACUUUAUUUUUUUGUGAACUUUUAAUUUUUUGUUAUAUUUUUCCGUGCGUAAUAAUUUAUAAAUGUUAUUUGUUUGGUUUGUGCAGGCAUGGUUUUUGGCGCAUUUUCCAGGGUUUUUCAGUGUUGAUCUCAACACUGACUACCUGGAAAACUAUCCGGUUGCAGCGAGGUGGAAGCUCCAGAAGGGUCAUGGGGAGGGGAUCACGUAUCGGUCACUGCUCGAUCGUAUACAGUUAGAUGAUGUAUGCUGGAGGCCGUACGAGGAGCACAGAGAGAUCCAGGACUUCGAGGAGGUUUUCUGGUAUUCUGGAUGGAUUAUGUGCGGCGUCCGUAGGGUGUACCGUCACUUGCCCGAGAGGGUUUUGAGGCAGUACGGAUACGUGCAGACCAUCCCCAGACAUCCGACUGAUGUUAGGGACCUCCCCCCGCCUUCCAUUGUGCAGAUGUUCGUCGACUUCCGCACUCACACGCUUAAGGCGGACGCUCGGGGUGAGCAGGCAGGAGAGGAUACAUGGCGGGUGGCGGAUGGCUAUGUCCUGUGGUACACUAGGGUGUCUCACCCUCAGAUCUUGCCACCUAUUCCAGGAGAUCUUCCGAGGCCUGCAAAUGAAGAGCAGAUCAUUGCAGAGCAGUGGCAGCGGUAUGAGGCGAGAAGCUCGCCUGACACCUAUGACAUGGUUAGUGGCGCUGUUGCCUACGCUGAUGCGCAGUUAGGCCAGGAGGAGGUCAUGAGCAUGACCCCUCAGCAGUGGUUUGAGGCCAUGACCCAUAUGAGGGAGCAGAUCGCGCCGAUUUUGACCAGGAGGAGAGCCCAGAGGCCGAGGAGGAGGCACCAUCAUCAGGAUCAGGACCAGUAGUACUAUUUUCCUUUUUUAGGACUUAUUUUUUAGUUUUAGUCUUUUGAUGACAUUGAGUUAUGUAUAUUUGUAUAUUUGUAUAUUUCUACUUUGAUGACAUUAUUUUUAAUUUCAUGGGCUUUUUUUACUUUGUUUAAUGUGCAAAUAUAGGUUGCUUUGGAAGAUUAACAUUUGUUCGGGUUCUUCACUGGAUCAUCAUCUCCAUGAUCAUUAAUUCAUUAAAAACAUAAAACAUAAAAAUAAGUUGAUAGUAGGAAAAAUUGGGAUGAUAAACAAUUAUUUUGUUUCAAAUAGUAGAACUUAAGAGAAAAAUAUAAAUUAAAUAGAUCUAAUUUAUAGUAAACAUGAAAGAUGAUGACAAUGGCUGGAAAUGGUAUCUAAAAAUGAUAGGUGCUGCACAAAGGACAACUCUUUCCAUAGUUUCAGAUCAAAAGAUAAGAAAGGAAAAGAGAGUGUAAGGUGAAGACCUUAACUUGGCUCUUGAGAGAGAGAUGAGUGUAAAUACUUAGACUCAAUGAAAAUUAAAGUUUGUUCUUGUAACUUCAUGUAUUGAUAAUAAGCAAUUUUCAAUGAGACGUGAUCGUUACUUUUUUCUAAGAGUGUAGUAGUAGAUUUGAGAGAACUUGAGAAUUUUGUGAAGUUUUGGAUGUUCAGUUUUCCUCGGCAGUUAACUACCGAGGUUUUACUCGGCACCUAACUGCAGCCGGAUUCAUAAAAACUUCGGCAGUUAACUGCCGCCGGUUUCCUAAAAACUUCGGUAGCAAACUGCCGAGGGGCAUUUUAGUAUAUUACUCGUGUGGCACAGCCAAACAACAUGUGGGAAGAGCAAUUCUCUUUAUUUAAUGUGAUAAAUGAAACAUACCAACAAAGAAAAGACAAGAGGAAAUCAUAAUUGAUACGUUUAUACCAAACACACGACUAUUGGGUGUACAUUUUGAGCAGAAAAGGGAAGGUAAUGGAAGCAAGGUGUAAGGUAUGCGUCACAGGUGCUUCUGGUUACAUUGCUUCUUUGCUCAUCAACAAGCUUUUAGCUAAAGGCUACACUGUCCAUGCAACUCUCAGAGACUUGAGUAUACUUUUUAUUUCAUAUGCACAUAUAUUUUUGUUGUAUUGUUAAUUUGAUUUAGAAAUUGCUUCCACCACCCACUAAUAAUAAAGCUUUGCAAUCACACACUUUACAGAGGAUGAGUCUAAGGUGGGACUUUUAAAGAGUUUUCCACAAUCACAAGACAAACUGGUCUUGUUUCAAGCAGAUAUUUACAACUCAGUUGACUUUGAGCCUGCAAUUAAAGGCUGUGAAUUUGUCUUUCAUGUUGCCACACCCUUGAUCCAUGAACCCGCAUCUCAGGUUAAAUUAUAUCCUUUUGUUUAAAAUUUGUUGGGAUAUCUAGUAGUAUUAGGGUCGGAAAGAAAUGAAUGAAUUUUAUAAUAUGCAUAGCAGUUCAAGGACAUUACCGAAGCAUCACUUGCUGGGUCAGAAAGCAUUGCCAUGUACUGUAAGAAAGCGGGGACGGUGAAGCGUCUCAUUUACACCGGAUCUGUUGUAUCUGCUUCUCCAAGAAGAGUUGAUGGAAUUGGUUUCAAUGAUGUAAUGGAUGAAACUUGUUGGACACCUCUCAAUGAUUCUUUAGCAUAUCUGUACCAUGAUGCUUAUCUUAAGGUAAGGUAGUCAAUUUGUUUUUAUCUAUUAGUUUUUUAUAUUAAUUAUGUCGGACUCGUUCUUACAAAACUACUAUUAAGGUGAUGAGUAACACUCUUUAUAAAUUGUUUUUGUUGAGAUUUGGCUUCAAAUUUGUGGUCUGAAAGAACAGAGAAAUCGUGACACGAAUUUGGCAUCGUGACACGAUUUUGUGAUGCCGUGAGCUGGUUUGCAGGGUGCCAAAUCGUGACACGAUCUUGAGAAAUCGUGACACGAUUUGCAAACUUGCUCGUUAAGUUUCUAGGAUAAGGACUGGUCGUACCUUGUAACGUACGUACCAAUCGUGACACGAUUUUAUCAGUGGAAGACUAGUAUUUAAGUGUUCUUGUGCAGAUUUUGAAGAGAGCGGAAGAGAGAGAAACUUGGGAAAUCAAAGGGAGCAACUCUAGGGUUUAGGGUCUUUGAUUAGAGUUUCUCUUGGGUUGGGAAACAUUGUAAACACCUUGGUGAGUGAAAAUCAUUGAGUGUCUUGUUCAUUGGUGAGAUUGGGAAAAAGGGUAGAAAUUAAUGUUGUUCUUUGUAAACUUGUCAAAGCUAAUUUCUUGUAACCCCUUUUGUAUC
rnacentral:lncRNA from 1 species